CACUACACUGUCAGCACAAAGAUCACACGGACUCAAACAGACAGCGUGUAUUUUUUAGACACUUUAAAAAAUUCAAGGUGCUUCUCGUGUGUUCCGAUGCCAGUGUUUUAAUUCUGUCAUUUUUAUUUUAUUUUAAAUUCUUUGGUUGAGUUUUUGUGUCAGUUGUACCUGUCCCGUUAGGUGUUGAAGGAACGCACAGAGGAAACGUUUCUCCAAACUUUUCUUGAGGAGAAACGAGAGGGCAAACACGUCUAGAUAAGGGUCCUUGGCUGUCAGUGGGAUGAUAGUGAGGUGGAGUGGAGUCUGGAUUGAAGGAGCAUGGUGAAGCACCAACCCUUACAGGUCUAUGAGAGACAGCUGUGUUUGUCAUGUCUGACGGGGAUCUAUGGCUGCCGCUGGAAACGCUACCAGCGGUCACAUGAUGACACCACCAAGUGGGAGUGUUUGUGGUCAUUCAUUCUCUUCUGCACUUUUUCCUUGCUGCUGGUGUGGUUUUACUUCUGGUGGGAGGCCCACAAUGACUACAACGAGUUUAACUGGUUUUUAUAUAACCGCUCAGGGGAGUGGAGCGAUGGUACCAUUCCCAUAUUUGCCACCACAGCUGCAGGCUUCACCUACAUUGCAUUUUUAAUGAUUUUAGCCCUGUGCCAUGUUGCUGUUGGUCAGCAGUUAAACCUACACUGGCUCCACAAGAUUGGUGUGACAUUUGCUUUGCUCACUACAAUAAUUGCUGUGAUAUCUGUCACUCAGAUGUGGGGAGAGGAAUGGGAUGUAGUGUGGAUUUCUUUGCAGGCUACAGGACCUUUCCUACACAUCGGUGCUUUAGCUGCGGUCACCGCUCUGGCCUGGGUGAUAGCGGGACAGGUGGCUCGAGUGGAGAAAACCAGGUUCCAGGUGAUGGUGCUCCUCAUCUACCUGAGUGUUCUCCUCACACUCUACUUCAUUCCGCUGUCAAUCACCUCCCCAUGCAUCAUGGAGCGUGGGAGACUCAAAGCGGCCCCUACCAUCAUUGGUCAUCAAGGAGCUCCAAUGCUGGCUCCAGAGAACACUCUACUUUCCUUCCACAGAGCUCUGCAGAGGAAUGUCAGUGGGUUGGAGGUGGAUGUGGCCAUCAGUCUAGAUGGUGUGCCCUUCCUCAUGAAAGACCGGACGUUAAGAAGAACCACAGAUGUGAAGAAAAUGUUUCCAGAGAGACAGUAUGACGAUGCCUCCCUCUUCAAUUGGACUGAUCUGCGCUCGCUUAACACUGGGCAAUGGUUUCUUAAGGAUGAUCCAUUCUGCACGGUGCAGUACAUGUCGAUGUCAGAGCGCUGGUUGGUGGGGAACCAGACAGUGUGCAGCCUGGAACAGAUGCUGAAACUAGCAUCUCGGUCCAAGAGCUCGGCUGUGUUCAGAAUGCGCAGACCGCCAGCCGGUCACCCACACCACCUUGACUGGGUCAACCUCACCCUGGACACUGUUCUGAGGUCAGGCAUACCACAGCGGCAGGUGAUGUGGACUGCAGACAGUGACAGGGAAAUUGUGAAGCAAGUGGCUCCUGGUUUACAGCAGACGUCUGUACAGAAGCUUCCCCUGGACACUCUUCAUCAUAAAGGCAUCAGCAGAGUCCUGCUGCGCUAUAAUCAGGCAUCUGCGCAGGACGUCCGGCUGUAUAAUGAAAACAACAUCAGUGUGACUAUGUAUAUGGUGAACGAGCCAUGGCUGUAUUCUCUGCUGUGGUGCAGUGGGGUGCCGUCUGUGUCUUCUGAGGCCCCGCAGUUGUUGAGGAAGUUGCAUUCGCCACUCUGGCUCAUGAGUCCAGAUGAAUACAGUUUGAUAUGGAUCUCCACUGAUCUCAUCUCUUUUGCUGUAGUACUGGGAAUAUUUAUAUUCCAGAACUAUCACAUAAUCAGGUGGAGAAUGAGUGGGAUGCGUAGCUACAACCCUGAGCAGAUCAUGCUGAGCGCAGCCGUCAGGAGAUCCAGCCGAGAUGUCAACAUCAUGAAGGAGAAGCUCAUCUUCUCUGGUCAGCCACUGUAGCUGUUCACCCCCUGGGUUUGAGUCUUCUACUAUCACCCCAUCUAUGGCCGCAUCCCUCCAUCCCAUUCAGUCUCAUUCCCUCCCCUCUCCUGCCUGUCUCUCACUGUCUACCACCAUCCCGUCUCCUCCUCCAUCCAUUCAUCCAUCAAUUCAUUCUCGACUGACAUCCCUCACCUUGAAUGAUAGCUCAUGCAGGGCUGUAGCAUCAGUGACCAGGGUUACUGUGACCUGCAUGUGAGGUGAGCAAUGGAGUCAGCAGUGAUGAACCAUAUAUGGAAAAUGGAUUUAACUACUACACCAAUUAAGGCUUUCUCAUUGAACCCCAGGAGCAAAAUACACGAGACACAAUGGCUGACAAAUGUGUCUUGAUUUUAUGGAAAGAAACCAAUUGCAUACUGAACCAGUUUGUGAUGCAUCCUCUUUACUACUGACUCGAUUCUGUCUACUGUUGAUGAUGGACCCAUGUACAGAAAAAAAAAUUCUUCUGCUGUUAAUUUGCUUGUACUUAAUUCUGGCCACUGAAGAGAAGUUUCCAGUUAUAGAGUAGGAAGUGCAGUUCUUCUGUUGACUAUUACCAAAUCUGUGGCCUCUGCCCCCACUAAAUGCUUGAGUAUGCUGGAAUGCCCGUUACUUGCUUCGUAUUGCAAGCAUGCCUGUAAUAAUAUAGUGGGUUUUAUCUGUCAGUUUUUGGGGAUUUUAAUUUUUCUAAUCAUCCAUAGCCAGCCAAUGCUGAGUAAAACAUAUAUUAUGCUAUAUAU